AACGAACGCUGGCGGCAUGCCUAACACAUGCAAGUCGAACGAGACCUUCGGGUCUAGUGGCGCACGGGUGCGUAACGCGUGGGAACCUGCCCUUAGGUUCGGAAUAACUCCCCGAAAGGGGUGCUAAUACCGGAUAAUGUCUUCGGACCAAAGAUUUAUCGCCUUUGGAUGGGCCCGCGUUGGAUUAGCUAGUUGGUAGGGUAAAAGCCUACCAAGGCGACGAUCCAUAGCUGGUCUGAGAGGAUGAUCAGCCACACUGGGACUGAGACACGGCCCAGACUCCUACGGGAGGCAGCAGUGGGGAAUAUUGGACAAGGGGGGAAAGCCUGAUCCAGCAAUGCCGCGUGAGUGAUGAAGGCCUUAGGGUUGUAAAGCUCUUUUACCCGGGAUGAUAAUGACAGUACCGGGAGAAUAAGCGCCGGCUAACUCCGUG
rnacentral:rRNA from 1 species